CGAUGACCCUUCAAUUUUUGAUUUCUGGGUGGAUGACCCAACCUGGGUUGGUGACCCAGAAGAAGUUGAGGAACUCUUU
rnacentral:pre_miRNA from 1 species